rnacentral:rRNA from 1 species
GUGCUUACACAUGCAAGUCGAACGAUGAUGCUGGAGCUUGCUCCAGUUGAUUAGUGGCGAACGGGUGAGUAACACGUGAGCAAUCUGCCCUUGACUCUGGGAUAACUGCGGGAAACUGUAGCUAAUACCGGAUACUUUCACCGGAAGGCAUCUUCUGGUGAUGAAAGAAUUUCGGUCAGGGAUGAGCUCGCGGCCUAUCAGCUUGUUGGUGAGGUAACGGCUCACCAAGGCGACGACGGGUAACCGGCCUGAGAGGGUGACCGGUCACACUGGGACUGAGACACGGCCCAGACUCCUACGGGAGGCAGCAGUGGGGAAUAUUGCACAAUGGGCGCAAGCCUGAUGCAGCAACGCCGCGUGAGGGAUGAAGGCCUUCGGGUUGUAAACCUCUUUUAGCAGGGAAGAAGCGAAAGUGACGGUACCUGCAGAAAAAGCACCGGCUAACUACGUGCCAGCAGCCGCGGUAAUACGUAGGGUGCAAGCGUUGUCCGGAAUUAUUGGGCGUAAAGAGCUCGUAGGCGGUUUGUCACGUCUGCUGUGAAAAUCCAAGGCUCAACCUUGGACUUGCAGUGGGUACGGGCAGGCUAGAGUGCGGUAGGGGAGAUGGGAAUUCCUGGUGUAGCGGUGGAAUGCGCAGAUAUCAGGAGGAACACCAAUGGCGAAGGCACAUCUCUGGGCCGUAACUGACGCUGAGGAGCGAAAGCGUGGGGAGCAAACAGGAUUAGAUACCCUGGUAGUCCACGCUGUAAACGAUGUCUGCUAGCCGUUGGGAUCCUUGAGGUCUCGGUGGCGCAGCUAACGCGAUAAGCAGA